rnacentral:rRNA from 1 species
UGUGGCGGACGGGUGAGUAACACGUGGGUGACCUGCCCUUUGGUGAGGAAUACCGGCGAGAAAUCGCCGACAAUACCGCAUACGCUCUCACGCAAAGCUUCGCCAGAGGAUGGGCCUGCGUCCGAUUAGCUGGUUGGUGGGGUAAGAGCCUACCAAGGCGACGAUCGGUAGCUGGUCUGAGAGGACGAUCAGCCACACUGGGAUUGAGAACGGCCCAGACUCCUACGGGAGGCAGCAGUGAGGAAUUUUCGGCAAUGGGGGCAACCCUGACCGAGCAACGCCGCGUGCAGGAAGAAGGUCUUCGGAUCGUAAACUGCUUUUCUCGGGGAAGAGAGACGGUACCCGAGGAAUCAGCCCCGGCUAACUACGUGCCAGCAGCCGCGGUAAUACGUAGGGGGCGAGCGUUGUCCGGAUUUACUGGGCGUAAAGCGCACGCAGGCGGUCUGCUAAGUUCGGAGUGACAGUCACCAGCUUAACUGGUGAAGGACUUUGAAAAC